GUGUUAUUUCUUUCGAAGUUGUAGUAGUCUCUUGAUACUACUAAGUUAUAAUAUUAUAGUGGUAAUAUUGCUCUGCUCGGGUAUUGUAUUUUACCCCGUUAAAAUAUCUGGUGUCAUUGUUACUCUCUUGUGUUAUUGUUAUUUACCGUGGAUAUUAUUCCUGGGCGGGAUAUUAUUUUAUUCCCAACAUCCCAGUGGGUAUAUAUCAAAAAUCUUAACGGUUUUCAUUCUUACGAGUAAGUUUUCAUAUAUUGUAACACUUUUAAUCAUACAAUAACCUCUCUUGAUUACUACUUUCUUAUCUUACCUACUUCUCUUAGGCCUUUAUAUACCUCUUUCUUUAGUGUUUCUAAGUCCUAUAUAAUUGGAAUGCUAUUUUUUGGUAUUUUUUUGUCAUUGUUUACUGAAAAAUCGUUAUUCAGAUUAUUAGUGAACAAUUGAUGUGGAAGUAAGGAUUAUUGGUAGAGUUGCUUUUAAAUUUCUGUUUUUACCUGGGGUUUUUAUAUUUUUAUUGUGUCUACUGGUUUAUGCUUUUCUAUACACUCAUUUCAGCCAUAAUAUCAUGGUGGUCAGAAUUCCAUAUAAAAAGUUUCUCUCUGGUAUUGCCUCUUAUCCCUUACUUCUUUAUGGGAAAAUUGGAAGAGUAAAAAGAAAUAGUGUGAAGGAGGAAAAAAAGGCUGAAAGCAUCGUUUUUCUAAGUUUGCUUAAGUUAUAUUUCCUAGAUAUGUCAGUUAUAAAGUAGUCAGCAACCUUACUUGAGCAGGAUCAGUCGUAUAAUCAAAACUGACUACAACUAUUUUCCUAUACAGUUUUGCCUGCUAAAGAGGCUUGUGUGAGAAUAACCUUCAAAAGAAAGGUACCCAACAUUGCAACAAAUGUCCUCUCUGUAGAGAUCAUUACAAAGCUCUUGAAUUUUUUUUCAUGGCUGAUACCAUUAUGGAGGUUUGCAUUCAGCUACCUCUUUCUCUGUGUUUGGCAUCUUUAUGAGUGAAACAUAUCUCAUUGGAAUUGAGAGAGGUUUCUGAUUCUGAGAUAUUUAUUGUGGAUCGCUUAUCAUUGUUGGAAUAUGAUAUAACAUGUAUGAAAAGGGUAGGUAUCAUAUAACUAAUAACUUUCUAUGUAAACUGAGUCAUUAACGACUUUUACUAGAUAUAAUAGUUAAUAUAAAUUAUAGAGUACACUGGUUUAAGAUUGCAUUGUGACACAUGGUGUAGCUUCCGCACCAAGUUAGCCCUAAAAGUAGGGAUGGUACAUGGGACUUGAUUAGUUCUCAGAAUUUUGUAUCGUAGAAAAAGGAUGAAAAAUCUGAAGUGUGAUUUUCCUUUAAAAGUAUGUACACAAGAUUUUAACAUCAAAUUCGGUGUUUGUGAUCUUAUAAAGACAAACUUUUAACACUUCCAUCCCUAUCUUCAUACAUGAUCCUUGUAACUUCUUGGACCAACAAAAAAACUAGAGAAGGCCCGGGGUUGAAUUUAUGACAUAGCUUCUUGUUCUUUAUAGUAGCUGCUACUUUGUCUAUUUCGGACAUUGAAAACUUGAUAAGUUUUAUUUUUUAUAUAAGGUUUAGUUAGUAACUUAGUAUUGACAAGUUUAAUUUGCAUUUCUAUUACAUAUAAGGAAAGAAACAUGCUACUUUAUCGAAGUUGCUGUAUGUUGAAAUAUAUUACCUUUUUUUUGUUGAUUUAUGCUAGCUAGAAAAAGACUUUAUAGGUUCUUUUAUACUUAGCAACCUUAGUAGGAACUGUAUAGAGACUAUCAUUUUGCUAUGCUACUUUCAAGUUUCCUGUGGAUUUGCUCAUGGGAUGCGCCAUCACGCACUAUCGUUUUGGUAUAGUUCAUUUUUUGUGUUGCAGCAGCACCAUCAAGUCUUCUACCAAGUAAAGAAGGUGGUCCAGGUGUUACUAAAUUGAUCAGUAUAUGCAAUAUAAACCUACAAGAUAAGGCAAUCUAAUAAUAAACUAUUGAGAAACAACAGAGUUCGACGGAAUGCGUACCGUGACAGUCUUCCAUUAAGUAGCACGCUGAAAAAGACGCAGUAAAUGAGGCUCUUUAUUUUAUGUUUUUGGUAGAAAAGAUAAACAUUUCAUAGAUAUUUAAAAGUUUACAUUAGAGUUUGUAGUAGGAUGCAUGAGAUGCAUCAACUGACGAUACCUAAAACUAACUAGUAAACCCCCUUUAUGGGAGCGAUUUACAUACACACCAGGGUGAUUACCUAAUACAACAUUACUACUAGUAGAUAUAGUACUAGCUAAGGAACUACUAUUACAUAACACAGUACUUGAUUUAAGUUGUCUUUGCCUAAGCAUUCCAGCCUGAUCUUGUUGAUAAAAGGGGUUGACAAAAGGUGGAGGAGAACAAAAGCACACAACUAUCUUCCACUUGCACUGCUCCAUAUUUGGCCAGACAGUCAGCAACAAAGUUUUGUUCUCUGUAGAUGGUUUGCACUUUUGGAUUAUCCAGCUGUUGGAGUAGUAAUUUGCAAUCAUUGAUCAAAUUAGUGUAUUGUAUAAUAGGUGUAUUUAGCAUACCAAGUAUUGCAGUUGCAUCCGUUUCGAUGAUCAGUGGUGUGAGUUGGUGUUGGAUAGCAAUUUGUAGCUCCUUAAAAAGAGCCAGCAAUUCUGCUUGAAUACUUGAACCAUUUUUUGUUCUCCCUGCAAACCCUAAAAUCCAUUUACACUGUUGAUUACGAAACAACCCUCCAAUGCCACAAUUAUGAUGAGUGGUUGAUGAAGAACCAUCAAUGUUUAACUUAAAGAAUUGCCCAAUUGGUGGAUGCCAUUUUAUAUAAAGAGGAAUCAAUUCAGAA